rnacentral:sRNA from 1 species
UUAAAUAUUUUUAUAAAAUGGUAAACGAACGUUCAGGUACAAUAGAACAAUUGCGACAAUGGAAUUCAUUUAACCCCUGUGGGCUCCAGGUACUGUUUUCUGGAAGAAUAGUGGCAGCAGACAUUGGGCUGGAUCGUUGUCAAUAUUAUCAUUUAGAAUUCUUACAGGAGAGAGAAUGCGCUCGAAAAGUUUACCCACGUUUGACAGUAAAGAAAUUGGACGAAAAUCUGCUGCAGUUUCGCUGUUUGGUUUCUUCUUGAUUGGAACAAUUUUAGCUAUUUUCCAAUCUUCGGGAAAGUAACCGUUAUUAAUACAAUUGUUGUAUAGUGACAAUUCGUGAAGUGAAAGUUGUCUGUAUUUUCAAGAGCAGUAUGCAGGAAGAUAUUUUUUCAUCAAGAUCACGAACAAGCCUCUCCGGAAUUGUUUUGCGGAAGGAAGAUGAAUAGAAAAUUUUGAAUUGCUCAGCAAUAUCAUUGCUAGUUGUGAAAAUAUUAUUAUUCUGUUGCAGAUGUUGGCAAAUGCCAACUUUUGAUGCGGACGAACCAGUUGAAGUUGCUUAGGAAGAACUUUGUACUCACUGCUGAGACGAUUUCCAGAGCGAUGAUUUAUUUAUGGGAGGCAUUAUCUGACGAGAUGCAGCAUCUAGAUCAUUACGGAAGUUAUCCCAAUUGGUAUUCUUUUUCAACGAAGAAAUUUGAAAUUGUUCCAUCGAUAAAGUUGGUGCUAAGGAGAAAAUGGUCUAAAAAAGAAUUCCCAUUUGGAUAUGAGUCACAAAACCUGGCGACGUCCAUUGCAUUAUCUUCCAGCCACUUUGACAGUACAUUCCCAUUUGUAUUAUUAAGAGUGUCGCCCGAAGCCAAAUUUCUAGCAUUCAGAUCUCCACCUAAUAUAAAGCCAUCAAAAUUACAACAUAACUGUGACAAUUUGCUCAAGUCAGCCUCCAGUCUUUGAGGCGAGUAUCUGCAUGGGAUGUAGACAAAUGCAAUCCGAGUGUAUUUAUAUGAUUUUUUAACCACAACAGCAGUACCGACCUGAGAGUUGUCGUAAAUAAAGAAGUACCCAUUUAUUUUAA